UACAGGCGUGAGCCACUGACUUGGCUUCAUUUAUUAUUUAUUACUCAUUGAUUUGACAAACAAGUUUUCACAUUAUUAAUAGUUCUAGGGAUCAGGAACUGAAUGUCUUUGGGGGGUCACUAUUCAGCCUAUUCCACACUGCCUGAGAGCUCACCUGCUUAGCUAAGAGGUAGCGUAUGAAAUGUCCUGGCAUACCCAGGACGAAGGUGCUGGGUAUCGGGGUGGAGUUCUGGCUCUGUGUAAGGCACCUUGCUGGGUGCUCCACCAACUCCACCCCACCUGACCUACACAAGCGCAUGUGGAUUUACCAGGAUUCAGACUCAGAUAUGUAUAGUUUGAGAGUGCUUUUUACUGGCAUUAUUUGCUGCCUGUCAAGGCCAAUGUUGCCUACUUUACCUCUUAAACAGUAAAUCUUCUCCUCCUCUUCCGCCACUACUGUUUCAUUGUCCACAUCCUUGUCUCUUAUCUGAACUACUGCUUCAGCUUUCUAACUGGUCUUCUCACUUCCAGUUUCUCCCCAUUGUUGCUGAGAAUGGUGUUCUCACAAUUGUUAACCUUGUCCUUUCCUGAUCUAUACAACCUGAUCAGGUUCCCUGUCACCUCCAAGGUAAGAUCUGAACUCUUAGAUCUGGCACUCCUGGAUUCCAUUACUAGUCUAAGCCUUAUCUCCUGACACUGUAUUUCGUUGUGCAUGUAUUGAGAUGGCCAGUUUAGAGUCCAAAAAGUAUGGGUUUUAAUCCUGGCCCCUACAUGUUUAGCUGUGAACCUAGGCAGGCUACUUACUGUCUCUGAGCCUUAGUCUCCUCAUCUCGAAAAUAGAUAAUGCUUCCUAUCUCAGGAUUAUUGUAUGGAUUAGAAAUUAGAUAUCCAAGGUACCCAAUUCAAUCAAUGCUGGUAUGCAGUAGCUUUUUCAUUAUCAUUACUACUUAUGAAACUGUCAUCUCCAACAAAGUAUGAGCUCUUCAAGGACAACAGUGUGUCACGCUCACAACUCCAGAGCUAUUCAGCGUGUUAGGCCUGUGAACAAAGGUAGGGAGACAAAGCAAAACAAAACAAAACAAAGACAAAUCAAGAUGAGAGAGAGAGAAAGAAAAGGACAGAGAGACAGAGGUGGGAGAGACGAAGAAGUUAUUUGUAAAGUUCUGUGUUUUCUGGAUGUUUGCUAUAACACCUUGCAGGUUUCUUCCACGCUGUGUGCCUAGGUUUCCUCUCUUGUAAAGUUGGCUGGAAGUUGACCUAAAUGAUCUCUGGUUCUAAUUCUCACUCUCUGCUCUACCCUGGGAAAAGUGUUUCCCUGGAGCUGGGGACAUCCUUUCUGACCAAGCAGAUGAGGGGCAGCUUUAUCAGGUGUGACAGUGCUGUCCACCGCCCUAAUGGAGUCUUUUGAAGAGGCUGGUGGGCAAGAACAGAUGGAGAUCUAACAUCAGGUAUAAUGUGCCUGAUUCUGGAUGGGAUAACCUUAGUGGGUAUUUUCACUUUAGACCAUAUUAGGCAAGUGGUUGUCAUUCAUUCAUUCACUCACUCACUAUUUAUUUAUUUUUGAGAUGGAGUCUCACUCUGCUGCCCAGCCUGGAGUAGAGUGGUGUGAUCUUGGCUCACUGCAACCUCCACUUCCUGGGUUCAAGUGAUUCUCCUGCCUCAGCCUCCCAAGUAGCUGGGACUACCGGUGUGCACCACCAUGCCCAGCUAAUUUUUGUGUUUUUAGUAGAGACGGGGUUUCACCUUGCUGGCCAGGCUGGUCUCAAACUCCUGACCUUGUGAUCCAUCUGCGUAGGGCUACAAAAGUGCUGGGAUUACAGGCAUGAGCCACUGUACUUGGUUUCAUUUAUUAUUUAUUACUCAUUGAUUCAACAAACAAGUUAUCAAAUACCGCCUCUGUGCUGGGCCAUGUAAUAGGCAUAUAGAGCAUUCACACUGGCUAUGUGGAGUAAACAAAGCAGGGAUGGCCAUGCUCUCAAUAUGGUUAUAGUCCAGGUACCAUUGACAUGUUUGGCAAAAUGAUUCUGUAUUGUGGGGGCAGUUGUGUGCAUUGCGGGGUGUUUAGCAGCAUCCCUGGUUUCUCCCACUAGAUGUCAGCAGCACCCACCUCAUACAACCAAGUAUGUCUUCAAACACUGCCAAACAUUCCCUGGGGCAAACGCACCCCUGGGUGAGAACCACUGGUCUAGUGGUUGUACAGUAUCUGGUGAAGAUGCAGCAAGUGAAAUGAGAGAGGUGAGCAGGAUCUUGACUGGGAAGAGUAUUUCCUUCCCUACUUGGAAAAAGUGAUCCCUGAAUGGAUGCUUGGAGACAGGGAAGGGGAGCGGGAUCCCACUCACAGUCUGCAUGAAUCUGGUAAGACGGUUAUUAAACCACUCUCUUCAUUACUUUGUCAGGAAAGAGUGUCCUCCCUCCAUUUCUAGCACACCUCAAUACCCGAGAUGCCUCUCCCUUCUCUACUUGCCUGGACUCCUGGUAUUUAUAGCUCAUCUGUCUAACUCAGACCCACUUCUCACUCAAGAGGGAAAUUAAUCUCUUUCUCCAAAUUCCACAUUGUCGCUUGCCCUAUGGCUUCCUCAUUACCCUGCUCUUCCAAUCCAGGCACCAGCAAUUUCCCCGAAGUGCCCCUUUCUCCACUGACAGUCGGCCAUGGCUCUGAAAAUUGGCUCUUGGAAUUGGAAUGGCCAUUAAGGAGUUCCUGAACCCUCUGAUAUUACAGGCAAACUGUGGAAAUUUUCUGGGGAGACCAUUCAUAGUGUUCUACAAUUUUAAAAAAAAAUCAGUAUCUUCCAAAAUGUUAAGAAUCUCUGCUCUAGGUUUGUGGCUAGAGAUAAUUGAGUUUACCACCAUCUUCCAGGUAAUGUUCCUUCUUCUCAUUUCUGACCUGUUCCCUUCUUAUAGUCUGAUCCCUCUGGGGUUAGUGAGAAUCUGACAGAGUGCAGGGGAGUAAAAUCAGGUUAGACUGAAAUGGAAUGAACAAUAUGGAGAAUCUAUCCCGAGUGCAUCUGCAUUAACUUAACUAGAAAACCUCAGAGAGUCUGGCGGCCCAAGUCUGCUUCAGGGGUCAAAGAACAGCUCAGCAAAGAUGAGCCCUAGAAGGUGACUGCAAAACUCAGCUGAAAUCUGGGCCAUUCUGUGGCUGAGAAUUGGGGUUCAGUCUUUUCCUGGGAAAAGCAUCAAACUCUGGGCUCAGAACUUAAAAGGCCCACUUAAGGGUUUGGCGAAGGGACAGGAUGGGGCCUCCACCUUUAAAAGAAGCCCAUUCCCCUGCCCUUGUGUCUUCACCCCUGAUUAGGCCUGAAUCUGAAGCACUUACGUGGAUUAAUGAAAUGAGCAAUGUCCUGUGAAUCAAGAGAGCUAUAUUUGAGCAUCAGCUUUCACCAAAUGCUGUAUGCCUUGGGCAGGUCACUGACCCACUCCUGGGCUUCAGUUUCUCCAUUUGGAUAAUAAAGAGGAAUUGGCUUGCUUCACAGUUUCACCAAUGAGUGACUAUUAUUAUAGUGAAACUCCAUUAUAACACCUCGUCAUUAGCCAUGUCCUUGCAUUUAUUCCUCAUUUUGAGACAUCCUUGUUCUAUUUCAAGCAAAACAGCAAUGAAUCCCAUCCCUAGGAAAGGUUUGAUGAUAAACUUAAAUCCCAAUCUUUAGGACCCUCCUGGCUCUAACAUUUUAUGAUUUUUUUUCUGCUCUGAUGUUACUUUCUUUUUAACUGUUGUUUUGAACUUAAAACUUAGGGAAUGAAAUCAAUGUUGCUGACCAUAGACUAUCUUCCAGGCACUGUGCUAGUUUCAGUUAUUAUGAUAAACAAGGUAGAUUUUGAUACCUUGUGUUAAAGGUUAGAAAACUGAGAUUCAGAGAUGUCACCUUUCUAAUAUCACUCAGUUAGCAAACUGACAGGACUUGAACUCGAAUCUGUCCUACUACAAGGCCUGUGGAUUUAAAAAUUACUUUUAUUCUAUAAUUCUUUAUUGUUUUAGCUUUCUUAAAAUUCAUUUAUUCAAUAUUUAUUGGGUAUCUGCUGUGUAAGGCACUGUGCCAGAUGCUAUGGGUCUGGAGAUGAGAAAUCAGCCCCUGUCCUUGAGCAGCUUUUAGAGAAGACAUGUAAAUUAAAGUUGCAAGUUAGGGCAAUGACACUAUGGCAGAGGGACAUACGGAAAGUCAGGGUGCAGAAAGUGGGAUUUAAUAUUGGAGACACCCUGGAAGCUUCUCAGACUAGGAAACACCUGUGCUGAAUUGAGGGGGUAAGACUGUCUAGGUUUUUUUCGAGAUGGAGUCUCACUCUGUCAUCCCGGCUGGAAUGCAAUGGCGUGGUCUCGGCUCACUGUAACCUCUGCCUCCUGGGUUCUAGCGAUUCUCCCAUCUCAGCCUCCUGAGUAGCUGGGACUACAGGUGCGUGCCACCACACCCAGCUAAUUUUUAGUAGAGAUGGGGUUUCACUCUGUUGGCCAGGCUGGUCUUGAACUCCUGACCUUGUGAUCCACCCACCUCAACCUCCCAAAGUGCUGGAUUGCAGGCGGGAGCCACUGCACCUGGCUGCCUUUUUUUUUUUUUUCUGAGAUGACUUUUCAUUAAACAAGUUAGUCAACAAUGAAUUGAGACUCUAUUAUGUACCAGAUCCUUUUCCAGUUUCUGGAACACAAUUGCAUAUAACAACAAACUCUUAUGGAGCUCACAUUAUAGCAGGGAAGAAAGUCAAUAAACAAACCAACAAAUACAGUACAAGAUUGAAAUCCUGACCUGGAGGAAAAGUAAGACUUGGCCAGGUAGAGAGAGUUUAAUGUCAUGAAAAGCUAUCCUGAUAAAGACAGAGACAUGUAAAAGCAUGACAAUCUCUUCGAAGAUGUUUGUCAUGGCUGGAAGACCUUCUAAAAGAUGAAGAAGGAAGCAAGAGAGAGAAAAAUGCAAGCACAGAUGGUGAAUGCCUUGUGUAAUGUUAUGAGUAUGAACUUUCUCCUGCAGAUAAGGCGAAGCCAUGGGAGGGUUUUAAGAGACAGAGACACAAUGUUCAAAUUUGGUUCCAGGGUGAUUUCUCCUGUGGCCCCUGGUGAAGGGGGCUUUGGAGGGGACCUAGAUUACAGAUAGGGAGAAUAGUCCUGGUCCAGGGAGGAUGGUGAACUAGGGCCUGAAUGCAGUCACUAUCAGGGGAGUUGUGAGGAGGACAUAGCGUUAGAAAUAUUUUUCAAGUAAGAAAGAUGAUACUUGGGUGCUGGCAGAGGUGACGGGACUAGGAAUAGCAUCAAGAAUAGCAUACCAGUUUCCUGCCUUGGAGAACAGCAUGGUGGUGUCCCCAUUGACCUUGGGUAGGAAGCUCUGUGUUCCCUAGAAUACUUUCAAUGCCACCCUUCUUAGUAGUAGUGUUCCCUAAUUUUAUUUUGCUGUGCAGAUGUGCCAAGUGGCUAUUAUAAUCCCUAUAGUGAAUUUCCAUUAAAAGGACCAGUUACUGGAAUGUUCUUAUCUCUAAUGCUCUUCUGUGGACAUCCUGGUUUCAUGUCAAACAAAGCUGAAAAUGAUCCCACUCACAGGAUAGGUAUGAGGCUGGCCUUAAACUCCCCAUGAGGCCAACAUAUUUAUCUAAUCUUUAAGACAGAAUAUGUUUUUUCUGGAACUUUUCCUUUCUCUUCCAUUCUUACUCCCCCACACCUCUGACGGGCCAGCUGUCCUGUCUGUCUGACUGCUUCCCUCUCUUUGAUACAUGCUAAUCAGGAUCCACUCACUGUCAGGAUAUAAACAUGCCUGUUCCAUGUCUCACUCCAUCCUGCUCUAUUUUAGUAACAAUAAGAACAAGCACAUUAUAUCCCAUGCACUCGUUCAUCCCAUGGGCAACAGGAUUUCUUAAACCAGUUCUAUGCCACUUGUCAUGUUCCCUCUGUGGCAGGGCCUCUGCCCAGAAGGCUGUUCCAAACUCCCUGCCUCUUUGCCUCUAAGUAACUCCUACUAAUUCUUCAGACGUCAGCCCCACUGCUACUUUGGCAAGACAGCCAUCCCUGACUUCCAGGCUGUCAGUCUGCCGUCCUAUUCUCUCCCAGAACCUCCUGGCACUCCUUCAUGGUUCUCUCAUGAUGGUUACUUUACAUUGUGGUGUAGUUUUUGAUAAAUAUCAAUUUCUUUUUUGUUUUGUUUUGAUUUUGAGGUGGAGUCUCCCUCUCUAGUCCGAGGUGGAGUAUAGCGGCACCAUCUCAGCUCACUGCAACCUCCACCUCCCGGGCUCAAGCGAUUCUUAUGCCUCAGCCUCCCAAGUAGCCAGAACUAUAGGCCAAGAUUAUUUCAGGAUUUCAUGAAGAGGAGAAAUGGAGGUCAUUUCCUAGAGGUUAAUGGAGUUUGAUUUGAGAAGAGAACUGUGUAAGGAGCAGGGGUGGGUGUGAAGCAAAUGUCACACACCCCAGAAAGUAAAGUGACCUGGCUCUUCCCCUCUCACUCCUCAGAAAGAGGGAAAGUUCAUCAGAAUCAGGACCCUGGAAAAGGGAUCUGCUGAAGAGAAGGAGGCCCUGAGUACCACCAUCCAAAAGGCAUUUCCAAGGAAGCCAGUGAUGUGACUGCCUUCGUGGCAGAGAACAAAGGUUUUGUAAAGGAACCAAUGGCUCUCUAGCCCCUUUCUAGGUGGAUUCUGGGGUAGAUGGACCCAGUUCCUUUGAUAACUGGUUAGUUAUAGCUAUAGGGUUAAGCCAGUUGAGUCAUAUUAGUCUGGGCUUCCAGAGACACAAGGUCUUCUUGAACCAUAAGCUCUCAGAACAAUGCCCUGCCUAGGCAGAGCAGAGAAGCCUGAACCUUUUGCCUGGAGAGAACAAAGAAGAGCACACAGCUCAGGAGCCACCAGACCUGGGACUACCCAUUGGACCCCUAAUCACCACUGCUCUUGGCCUCUCUUUCCCAUUAGGUUGUGAGUUCCUUGAGGACAGAGCCUACCUCUUCUCCGUCCUCGUUUCCCCAGCCUAAUGCACCAUCAAAUAAUGCUGUGGAAAGAAAAAGUAAAUGAAUAAAUAAACCUUAGCGUUAACUUGACAGUGCACCACGGGUUAGAGGAUCAUAAAAUAGCAGAGCAAGAGGGCACCAAGACUGAACCCCCAAUAUCAAUUCCAUGACUCAGGAGGAGUUGACUCUACUCAGACUCUGGAUGAGGAAGAGAUUUGCAAAUCACAUGAGCAGUUUUUACACACAACCAAUUUUCUAACAUCCAACCCUUCUAUCUUGGUCUCAGUCUUAGUCGUCCUUCAAGGCUUAACCUAGAAGCUACCACCUCCUCCAUGAAAUCUUUGAAACUUAUCCCUGAGGGGGAGGAUCCAAGAUGGAUGAAUAGGAACAACUCCAGAGUGCAGUUCCCAGCAAGAACAAUGCAGAGAGCCUUCAGCCUCAGACUGGAACUACAUAUCAGCAAUCCUGGAACUGCAGCUCACUGACUACAAAUUUGGGAAUUCUUAGCCUCCAUAAUUGCAUAAGCCAAUUAUUUAUAAUAAAUGUCUUUAUGCAUAUAAUCUCUUUACAUAUAUAUAUACACACACACAUAUAUGAAAACAGAACCAAUAGGAGAUAUAUAGAUGUAGAUAUGGAAAUAGGCAUAGCUACAGAUAUGGAUACAGAUAUAGGUAUAGAUAUAGAUAUUGACAGAGAUAUUCUAUUGGUUCUGUUUCUCUGGGAACCCUGACUAAUGCAACCACAUUGCAGGCCAUGGGCUUGGCUUCCUGAAGAAUGUUCCUCUCAAUGGUGAGUAAGAUGUUAAGUUUCCUCCACCACACCCAACUUUUCCUUUCCUAUAUUCUUGGCUCUGCUGUUGAUUAUUGUUUUCUCCCUAGAAGAAAGAUAUCCUAAGAUAUGGGAGAUAACAAUUUAAUAGAAUCUUGCCAUAUGGAGCUAACAGGACACUUAGAGAUAAUUAGGUCUCUUAUUUCAGAGCAGAGGUGCUUGUCUAUGGUUCUGUUAUUUGUAGACACUUGUGGAAUGCCUUCCUGUUCCUUCAACUCUCUCUUCUCUUAGUGAAGGUUUAACCUCACUUUUAGACCCAGCUCAAAAUCUGCCCCAUUUAAAGGGCCUUCCUGGCUGGGCACAGUGGCUCACUCCUGUAAUCCCAGCACUUUGGGAGGCCAAGGCAGGCAGAUCACCUGAAGUUUGAGACCAGCCUGGCCAACAUGAUGAAACCCCAUCUUUACUAAAAAUUAGCCAGGUGUAGUGGCAGGUGCCUAUAGUCCCAGCUACUCAGGAGGCUGAGACAGGAGAAUCGCUUGAACCUGGGAGGCAGAGGUUGCAGUGAGCUGAGAUUGUACCAUUGCACUCCAGCCUGGGCAACAAGAGCAAAACUCCACCUCAAAAAAAAAAAAAAAAAGAAAAAAAAAGGGUCUUCUCCCCAAGUUUGAAUUCAUUGCUCUGUUUUCUGUAUCCCCACAGAAUUCUGUACAUAUCUUUUUACUUAGCUUAAUAUGUUUUAUAAUUGGAGACAGAUCAAGAGGUACACCAGGCAGGUGGGGUACCAGGUAUCAUUUGUAGUGGGAUAAUAAAGCAUCAGUAAAAAUAGAACAAUUUGGAGAAAACUAUAUUCAUCAGAACUCUUCACCUAUAUGCAGCUGGAAGAAAAUUUGAGACUCAGAGAGGUAAGCAACUUUUGCUCAAAUCAUCCAGCUAGAAAGUAGCUGAGCUUGGAUUUGAAUCCAAGUCUGACUUAAAGAGCCAUGCUCUUGUUGGUUAUUCAUACAAUAAUUUGUGUAAAAUGUUAACUGUGUGCCAGGUACCAUGUUAGACACUGGGGUGCAAAAGUUCAAGCCUGGUUGUCCAGGGUUAUGGCAGGUAGUGGCAGAAUACAACCAAAUUCCUUGUGUAAGUCUUUGGUCUUUAGGCCUGAGACUCUUCUGUCCCACUGAGUGAUUUCACUGCUAGGAUACUCUAGAGCCAGUUCCCCAGCCUUUCCCUCUUUCCAAGAGCAGACAAGACACUUUCUUAGAAUAACCCCUUUGCCUGCCCCAAUAUCUUUGGCUGUGCCCACUGUGGAAAGAGAGUCAGGCUGCUGCCAAGUUCAUUAAUAAUUUUGGCUUUCUGGAGGAAGGAGUUGGAUUGCUUUGCUCUUUGAAUAUCAAAACAUCCAAUUAACACAGCUAAUUAGCAUCACCAGCAGCAGUCAAAAGAAUGGCAAUUUAGAGGCAGAAUUUCAAAGGUUUCCUAGUUGUAGGCCAAGGCAACCCAUCUCUUGCUAAUGACAAGAGUUACUCACUUAGGCAAUUCUAUAGCAGCCAUCAAUUAACCACUGGGCAGAGACUGGCCUCAUCCCUGAGUCAUUUGUCUAAUCAGAACUGAAUAGAGAAAAAGAGGCACAAUGAAAAGGAAGAGGAAGAGAGGGAGAGGAAGAGAUGACAGAAUGGAGUUAAGGGGUCCAAGAAAGGAAAGAGAGAGAAUUAAGAGAGGAACAGAGAGAAAGUGAUACAGAUACACACAAAGACAGAAUUCUCAGAGAAAGUGACAGAGAGAAUGAGGGAAACAAACAGAAAAGGUGACUUACAGAUAGACAGACAAUCAGAUAGGGUACACAGAAAAAUGUAUUUCUUAAAACAUACAGGAAAGACAGGACAAAAGCUUCUAGCCACCAGUAGCUCUGGAAAGGUCAGUGAUCACUGGGAAGGCUUAGCAUUCUGAUCUGUGAAGUCAGGCCUAGCUGUAAAAGUUUAAAGCAAAAUGUGGCAAGGCUUGGCUGCUGUAGUGGAAUCCAAAAGAGGAAGAGGCCAGGAGACUCAACCCAGAACUUUUCCUUUCACACACUGAAAACUGGAUUUCCUAUGAGCCUUGAUUUGUCUGUUGCAGGUUAAAUAUGCAGCCAGCACUCCCUCAUUUGUGUACUUUCUCCUGUAAACACAGUGAGCUCAAUGCUCAGGCCUGUGAUUGGCCAGGGGGUUAUUGUUCUCUCCCUCAAGGAAAGAAACCAAUGGAUCUCUUACUGACUCCACCUCAGAAAUGACUUUCCCAUCUCUCCUCCUCUCCAUUGCACGGUCUCUGCCCCAGUUCAGGCCUUGUGGUCGCUUCGCUAGGUUACUGCAGCAGUCUCUGGCCUCUUCUUGAUGCUAUCCAAUCCAUUCUUAUCACUGCUGCCAAACGAUGUGGCUAAGAUGAAGAGCUGAUUGUGUCCCUUUCCGACUUAAACCUUUUCAACGGUUCUGGACUUUCUCUGGAUCAAGUCCAAACCUGUUAAUCAUGGUAGUCAGGGCCUCUGUCUAGGCUCUUGCUGUCUUCUCCUGACCCAGCUCUUCCUUCUCCCCAUUCCUCACUGAUACCCCCACCGCACUAGAUGACAUGGGGGCUCCUAGAUGCUUCAUGCUGUCUUUACCUCUGGGGUCCUCCUCAUACCACUUGGCCCCUGCAAUGCCUCAAAUCCCUGCUCAUGCUCUGUGCCUUUCUGUGACUAUGCUUUUGUUUCCAUACCUCCCCUAUCAACUUGUUCUUUUUAUUACUUCGUUUCGUAACCAGCAUGUAUUCCAGGACCACAAAUCCAAAUGUCUUCCAAGGAUGAAUUCAUAAUGUAAAUAUGUGCAAUGAUAAAUAUGAAACAGUAGAGGGAGUAGUGACAAGUGACACAGUAAAUACCAGCUCAAAAACCUCAAACUCAAAACUCAACCAACCAACCAACUCACCAGCCAAUAAAACAUUACCCUUGCCAAACCCACCAUCUGCAGGAAGGAGUCAGCCAUGGGCCACCAGUUGAUGACCAUUGAUGACCUUCCAUCUGUAGCCUGACUCUCAGCUUAGUCUGGCGCACAGGGUGUUCUGCACUCAGACUCCAAUUUCAAUCCUUGCUAUCUCCAUGCAUUUGGCUCCCUGUUCAGGGAGAUUUUCAGUCUGUGCCGACUCCUCCCCUUUGCACCUCACAAGGGUGUUCACUGUAUGUAAAUAGCUGAAAAGAACACUAACAUUUACAGUGAGUAAGCCAAUCCCAUCAUACACCUGCUCAGGCAAGAUGCUAUUAAUCAGCAUUUUAACGAAGCCCAAUUACAGUAGAUGAUGCCUCCCACCAGGUAAGGCAAUGGUUACAGAUGGGAACAAACCAGGAAAUCACUGCCCUCUCCCAGGAGCUUGCUCCACUGCAGCACUGGAGGGUUAACUCUAGGAAGACUGAAUGGCUGUAGUGACAAGAGUCCAGCUGAUGGCCCUAUUAGCAGUAAGAAACGACCUCUUUCCCAAUCGCCAACAUAAAUGCAGACAGGACGGGAGGAGCUGGGUUUCUAGUUGGGAGUAGCUUAUGGCCAGUGAUUACCUUCUCUUCUAGCUGACAUUCUGUCUUUCCAGACAUGACUGGGUCUCUGUUUCCAGUAUCCACCCCUGAGUGAGGCCUGGGUAAGGCAUUAUAGUCUGUAAAACAUGAUCUUCACUUCCUCAACUUCUUUUUUUCUUUAUUCCUCCAUUUACUCCUCUUUUCUCUUCACAGCACUCAAGCAUCCAGGGCGCCUCCCAACCCCACCUUCUAUUGCAGUUCAUUGGGUUAAUAGCACAGGCUGUGGAAUUAAUCAGUUUCUAUGUGAAUUCUGACCCUCCACAUCUACCAGCUCUGUGACUUUGGGAAAGUUAUUUUAUUUCUCUGGACUUUAGUGUCUCAUCAGUUAAAUGAGAACAAUAAUCCCUGUCUUGUCUUCUUCAUAUGGUUGCUUUGAGAUUGAACUGGGGAAGCCAUCUACGGCAGUACCUGCCACAUAACUGACUGCCCUCCCUCCAUUCUGCAGCUUGACUGAGAAGUCAGUAGGGAGGAGAAGUUCUUACCCCUUGCGAAUUGUUCCUUUCUUGACUGGGGAAUGAAGUAUGGACUUCACAGUGCUUCCAAAAUCAUACGAAGGGGAAGAACCCACUGGUCUAGGAUAACUCUAGCUCCUCCCACAUAUAUCAACCACUCCUGUUAAUACAGUAAUUUCCUCAUGCUACUCUCUUGCUCAAGAACCAUCUCUGGCUCUCUGUUGCCUAUAAUCUAAAACUCGAAAUUAGUACUAUGGCAUUUAAGGCUUUCUAUGAUCUGACCCGAAAGAUCAACUAAAGCUAGAAAAGUCGAAGUUUAGUUCCUAAGCCUCCCUUGUAUGAACUCAGCAUUCAGACCAGUUUCUUCACAUGCUCAGUUCUAUCACUGAGCCUUUAUUCAUGAUGACACACUCUUCAGAAUGUUUUCCCUGUUUUACCGUGAGACUGUAAGUUCCUUCACUAGGCUAUGAGGGUAGAUACUAUUUUUUGUUUUGUUUUUAAUCUCAACAUCAAGAGAGAGAGAUACAAUGAACCUCUCAAGAAAUAGGUCUUAAACUGGACUAAAUGCCAUCACUGCAAACACUUCUUCUCUUGUAAGUUCCAGAACAGAUCCUUUUAGGUGGUCUAAUGUGGUCGUGUUCAGACUCUGAAGCCAAAAGACUUUGGGUCAAACCCAAGCUCUACCACUGUGAUGGUUAAUUUUUUUUUUUUUUUUUUUUUUUUUUGAGACGGAGUUUCGCUGGAGUGCAAUGGCGCAAUCUCGGCUCACUGCAACCUCUGCCUCCUGGGUUCAGGCAAUUCUCCUGCCUCAGCCUCCUGAGUAGCUGGGAUUACAGUCACGCACCACCAUGCCCAGCUAAUUUUUUGUAUUUUUAGUAGAGACGGGGUUUCACCAUGUCGACCAGGAUGGUCUCGAUCUGUUGACCUUGUGAUCCACCCGCCUCGGCCUCCCAAAGUGCUGGAAUUACAGGCUUGAGCCACCGCGCCCAGCCUGUGAUGGUUAAUUUUAUGUGCCAACUUGGCUGGGCCACAUUGCUCAAUUAUGUUGUCAAAUAGUAUUCUAGAUGUUUCUGUGAGGGUGUUUGUGGAAGAGGUUAAAGUCAAAGUCUAUUGAUUUAAUCAGUAGACUUUGAGGAAAAGAGAUUGCCCUCCAUAAUGUGGGUGGGCCUCAUUCAAUCAGUCAAAGGCCUGAAUUGAACAAAAGACUGACCACUCCUGAGCAAGAGGGAAUUCUGCAGCAGAUGGCCUUUGUUCUUGAAAAGUAACAUUGGCUCUUCCCUGAUCUCCAACAUGCCGGCCCACCCUUGCCAACUGCCAAAAUUGCACAAAGGCCAGAUGUGGUGGCUAAUGCAUGUAAUCUCAGUGCUUCAGGAGGCUGAGGUGGGAGGAUUGCUUGAGGUCAGGAGUUCAAGACCAGCCUGAGCAACAUGGAGAGAAACUGUCUCUACAAAACAGUUUAAAAACUGCAUGAGUCAAUUCCUUGAAAUAAAUCUCUUUAUAUAUACAUGUACACACACCCUACUUGUGCUCAUUCUGGAACACCCUGACUAAUACAGUCACUUCCUAUCUGUGUACCUUUGUCAGGUCAUUUUACCUCAUUGAGCCUUUGUUUUCUAAUCUGUAAAAUGAGGAUGAUUGUUCCUCCUUCAGAGGGUUAUUGUAACAAUUCACUGUGACCCUGACUAUGCAUGUCAGAGCACCUAUAAUUUGUGAGCUGUUUCACCUUGCUUAAUCUUAUUAUCAAGGUCCGCGACCUCCAGGAAGUCAUCUCAGCUGCUCUAGCCCUCUUUGCUCUUUGACACUCCUGGGGUCCUAGAGGAAACUGGGCCCACAUCGCAGCCCUGACUUUGUCCUUUCUUUCAGUACCCAAGCACAUGCGAUGAUGCCCAGCACUGCACGACCCUGGUGGGUAUGGAGGGGCUGAGGAGGGGGCCUAGUACAGAUGCUAAUACAGACUAAUCUGGGAACAGCUUUCAAAGCUGCAGCAGAGGCUGCUGAGAAGGACUCAGACACGGUGCUGCAGUCAAUUGGGUCCUGAAUUGAAAUUCAUCCCAUUGCUUUUUGUCUCGACAGGGUAAUAAAAAAUCCUCAGACAGUAUAUUAUGAAUGCAAAGGGGCAACACUGGCUCUCUGCUCUCCACCACCAUCUGAGAGAAGGACCUGUUGGGUGCCUGAAGGAAAUGGGCUUUGAGAGGAGGAUAGCGGGUCGGAGCAGAUGGCACAUCCUUGGCUGGGCAGGGAGGGCUGGACCCUCACAGUGCUAAGCCAGUGCUUCCCGACCUUUCAUGUCAUGACUGAGAAAUUUUUGAUAUUUCUUUGCAGACUGAAGGAAAAGGUGGCGAGUUUGACAGAUCUAAAACAAAUGACCAGAAGAUAGGGAUUUAGGCCAGCUUGGUUCCAGGCCACAGGUGGAAUUCAGGUCUGCCUUCCUCCCUUGUUCAUCCUGGGGUUGAGCUGAAGUGGCAGUGGCUCCCCAUGACAUGCUCUUCCCCUGGCAAAUUGCUGGAGUGGCAAGUGCCAGCCCAAACCGCAGAGGCACAUGGAAGACCUCCAUCUGAGUUCUGUUAGUGUCCCUUUGGCCAAAGCAAGUCACCUAGGUAUGCCCAACAUUAGUAGGGCUAGGAAGAAUACUCCGCCGACAGCCCUUCCCUGUACUUGAAUUUCCAGCCACUGAAAACCACAUUGUCAUGUCUCUGGGCACUGGCCUAGAAUAUCCAUUUCAUUCUGUGAGUUUCAGCUCAAGGGCUCUCCUCUGUGAAGCCAUCCUUGCCUCCCUAAGGCAGAGUUAUAUACCUUCUCCUUAAUGGUCCCCUCUAUACCUUAUGUGUCCUUUCAGGGUAUUCUUAUUAAUUGUAAUGUUUGGAUGUCCAUUUCUCCAUAAGGCUGCACUUUUGGAAUGCAAGAGCCUUUCCCGGCCCAUUACAGGGUCCUCAACCACCUUGUAUGCGGCUUGGCACAGGAGGAAGGAAUGCUCACUUGUUGUUAAACAAAUGCAUGAAGAAUUGAAUAAAUGAAUGGCCAGUGUCUGGUCUUUUUGAUUUCAA